rnacentral:rRNA from 1 species
CCUACGGGUGGCAGCAGUGAGGAAUAUUGGUCAAUGGGCGCGAGCCUGAACCAGCCAAGUCGCGUGAGGGAAGACGGUCCUAUGGAUUGUAAACCUCUUUUGUCGGGGAGCAAAAGACGCCACGCGUGGCGUUCCGAGAGUACCCGAAGAAAAAGCAUCGGCUAACUCCGUGCCAGCAGCCGCGGUAAUACGGGGGAUGCGAUCGUUAUCCGGAUUUAUUGGGUUAAAAGGGUGCGCAGGCGGAAGAUCAAGUCAGCGGUAAAAUUGAGAGGCUCAACCUCUUCGAGCCGUUGAAACUGGUAUUCUUGAGUGAGUGAGAAGUAUGCGGAAUGCGGGGUGUAGCGGUGAAAUGCAUAGAGAUCACGAAGAACUCCGAUUGCGAAGGCAGCAUACCGGCGCUCAACUGACGCUCAUGCACGAAAGUGUGGGUAGCGAACAGGAUUAGAUACCCCAGUAGUC